UACGGGAAGGGCAAGCGUUAUCCGGCAUGACUGGGCGUAAAGAGUCCGUAGACCGUAAAGUAAGUUUUAUGUCAAAUUUUAAAGCCUAACUUUAAAACAGCAUUAAAUACUGCUUUACUUUGAGUUUAGUACAGAAAAGUGGAAUUUUAUAUGGAGGGGUGAAAUCCGUAGAUAUAUAAAGGAAUGUCAUUAGCGAAGGCGACUUUUUGGUACAAACUGACGUUCAGGGACGAAAGUGUGGGGAGCGAACAGG
rnacentral:rRNA from 1 species